rnacentral:rRNA from 1 species
UGCGUAGGUGGCGCCAUAAGUCAGGUGUGAAAUCUCGGGGCUUAACUCCGAAACUGCAUUUGAUACUGUGGUGCUUGAGGACUGGAGAGGAGACUGGAAUUCACGGUGUAGCAGUGAAAUGCGUAGAUAUCGUGAGGAAGGCCAGUGGCGAAGGCGGGUCUCUGGACAGUUCCUGACACUGAGGCACGAAGGCCAGGGGAGCAAACG